GAUGAACGCUGGCGGCGUGCCUAAUACAUGCAAGUCGAGCGAACAGACGAGGAGCUUGCUCCUCUGAUGUUAGCGGCGGACGGGUGAGUAACACGUGGAUAACCUACCUAUAAGACGGGGAUAACUUCGGGAAACCGGAGCUAAUACCGGAUAACAUGUUGAACCGCAUGGUUCAACAGUGAAAGACGGUCUUGCUGUCACUUAUAGAUGGAUCCGCGCCGCAUUAGCUAGUUGGUAAGGUAACGGCUUACCAAGGCAACGAUGCGUAGCCGACCUGAGAGGGUGAUCGGCCACACUGGAACUGAGACACGGUCCAGACUCCUACGGGAGGCAGCAGUAGGGAAUCUUCCGCAAUGGGCGAAAGCCUGACGGAGCAACGCCGCGUGAGUGAAGAAGGUCUUCGGAUCGUAAAACUCUGUUAUUAGGGAAGAACAAAUGUGUAAGUAACUAUGCACGUCUUGACGGUACCUAAUCAGAAAGCCACGGCUAACUACGUG
rnacentral:rRNA from 1 species